rnacentral:rRNA from 1 species
UUUUAUGGAGAGUUUGAUCCUGGCUCAGGAUGAACGCUGGCGGCGUGCCUAAUACAUGCAAGUCGAGCGAACGGACGAGAAGCUUGCUUCUCUGAUGUUAGCGGCGGACGGGUGAGUAACACGUGGAUAACCUACCUAUAAGACUGGGAUAACUUCGGGAAACCGGAGCUAAUACCGGAUAAUAUUUUGAACCGCAUGGUUCAAAAGUGAAAGACGGUCUUGCUGUCACUUAUAGAUGGAUCCGCGCUGCAUUAGCUAGUUGGUAAGGUAACGGCUUACCAAGGCAACGAUGCAUAGCCGACCUGAGAGGGUGAUCGGCCACACUGGAACUGAGACACGGUCCAGACUCCUACGGGAGGCAGCAGUAGGGAAUCUUCCGCAAUGGGCGAAAGCCUGACGGAGCAACGCCGCGUGAGUGAUGAAGGUCUUCGGAUCGUAAAACUCUGUUAUUAGGGAAGAACAUA